CUUAAUUAACAACAAUAAAAAUUGAUUUUCAAAAAUUUAAUUUGAAAAGAAGUUUACCACUGUAAUACAUGUGGAUGAAUAAUAAUUUCCAAAAAUAACUUUUAUUAAUGGUUACCUAGCACCUUCGUAUUUCUACGUUACCAUUUUCAUUCAUGUACUUCUAAUUGAUUUACUUUGAUCACGAAUGUAUAAUUUGUAAUUAAUUGAUUUUGCCAUGACAUGAAUUCUUAAUUUGAUAAUGUAAACACACGGUGUUCGUUACUAUGUUCCAUAUAUUAUUAUUUUUUUUUUUUUGGGUAUGUUUAUAUCCCAUGUGUGCAACUGCAUAUGGGUUAAUAAAUAAGUUCACCACUAUACAAAGGUAUGGAUGAAUACUACUUUCACAAAAUCAAUUUCAUUAAUGAAAUCAAAUUACGACAGUAGAUUUGUACAUAAUCAUUUUGAUUCUUGUAAAUUUAAUUGAAUUCUAAUUUGAUUAUGAAUUUAUAAUUUACAUAAAAUUGGCUUAAUUUGAAAACUUAUUCUUAAUUUGAUUCAUGUAAACACACGGUGUUCAUGCCUUUUUUAUCUGUUAGGUUUGAAAAGGAAUUUAGAGAUUUACCUUUCUAUUGAGAUUCUUAGACAAUGAAACCAUAAUUUGUAGGGUGCAGUACGGUUAAUAUUAAAUGAAUGAAAUAAUAAGUUUGUAUACCCAUCAUAUGAAAUUUGUGCAUCAGCGUGUUCAUUUCAUGUUUAACCUGAAGUAUGGAUAUCAUAAACUAAUGACUACUAUGAUUCAUUGUUACUUUCGAAUGUUUGUCGUUCAUAGCAUGGCUUCGUUUACCUCUAGUGCAACUUCCAGUACAUGGCCACGUCGAAUGUGUGCCUGUGGACAUGGCCCCUAUAUUGUUAAGAUUUCAAGGUCCACCAAAAACCCAGGGCAUCCCUACUUUGCAUGUCCUCGCCCUGUGGUGAGUGCCCAAUUCAUUAUCGGUCAUAACUACAUGAACAUUAAGAACCCGUUGACUAAUAAUUUCAUCAUUUGCACUCGUUAGCCUUGUGUCAGUUGGAUUGGUUGGUGCGAAGAACCAAGGCGAGAGAGCACGGACUAUGCGUCAUCCAGAGACGAAAUUGUCAUGCAAUUACGGGAUGAUGUCAUACACAUUCAACAUUCCUUGUGUGUCGUUAAGACCAUUGUCUAUGUGCUAUGCAUUGUCGUUGUCAUUUUGUUGUUGCGUAUGUAAGCAACAUUAGGAUGUUGGUAGUAUGUACAACCAAGUUACGAGGUUAUUAGUAUGUUAGUAGUAUGACUAUAAUCUUGCUUUGCGUUCCUCCACUAGGAAAGGUUAUUGGUAUUAAUGACUAUCAUGCCUAUGUGCAUCGUGCAGUUCCAUGUUUCUUUAUUUAUGUUACUAAUGUGCAAUGGUUAUAUGAUGUCUAAUUUAGCAUCCUAUUUAUCUGUUUAUUGUUCAUGGGCAUAGAUUCUUCCAUAAUGCAACCAAUUUAAAUUAUUCUGCUAUCGGCUUAUACGUUUGUAUGUAACAACCACAUAUAGUCAUGUGACCUUUUGUAAGCGUACAUUCGUAAUGGUUUCCAUACGUACUUCACCGCGUACUCAAUCCAAAAGCAAAGGCAUUGUCACAGAGAAGUCAAGCAGUCUUGAAGAGACACAGACUCAGUUCAGCCACAAGGCCUCAUGGGACAGUGACUCAAUCCGUGUUUUCCUGCAAUUGAUUGCAAAUGAGAUUACAAAAGGAAACCGACCAUUCCUAGUCCUUAGCCAAGUUGGGUACAAGUCGUUGGCCAGGAAAUUUGAGAAAAAAAAGAAAGAAAACAUGGCCUCAAACAGUUGAAGAAUAAAUACAUGAGUUUGAAAAAAGAGUGGCAAGCGUGGACAAAGUUGAUGGAUUCAAGCAAAGGAGUGUUAGGGAUAGGGUUUGACUGUGACACCGGUAUGUUUUAAGCACCUGAGGAGUGGUGGGACAAGAUAGAAUCGAUAAACAAGGUGUGUGCCAAGUUCAGGAAAAAAAUGUUGGAACAUCGUGACUUGAUGGAGACGGUCUUCAUGGGGGCAUCAGCUACUGGUUAGCACCAUUGGACCCCGGGAGAGAAACUUCCUGAAGCUGCUGAUGACUCAUCGGAUUCUGUGCAUAGUUUGGGAGCCCAGCCAUUUGCUGAUCCGAUACCCGCAGGAGUACAGGACGUGGAUUCAGAUUCUUCACUGGAGCCUGUUUCGAUUGAAAAGGGAAAAAGGAGAAAGACGCCAUCAACAAGUAUUUCAAAGUCGAAGAAGGUAACAAGUGAAGCAUCAGUUAUUGCGAAAAGCAUGAACAAUCUAACAGAUGUGGUGCGUACGAAGAAUCAGCAGGUUACAGUGAGGCACCUCACAGGCAACGAAUCGAUGCACACUAUUUCGAAGUGCAUGCAUCGCCUGACGACUAUUCCAUCCCUGAUUGGUACACUGCUAUUCCAUUUCACCUCGACACUUAUGGACAACGCAGAUUACCGGAGGUGUUGAUGUGCCAGCGUGAUGAUGACCACAUCAUAGGGUGGCUUACACAAAAGCAGCUCCAGUGUACUGCGUCGGCACCGUUUGCGAACCUGUUUGGGGCUCGCCAGAUGUGAUGUAGCGGUGUUAGGAUUGUUGAAGAUGCUUGCCCUUCUCUUGCUUUUGAAAACUUUUACUUAUGUUAUUGUUGGCACUGUAUUAAAACAAGAUGGUUGUGUUUGCAUGUUUUUAUUCCUUCCUUGUUGUUUUUUUUUUCUUGCUAGCUAUGGUGAACAAAACUUUUAGUUAAGUUUGUCGUAGAUAGAAUGGAAGCAUGGUUGUGCGUUUUUUGGGAAAGGAAUGGGAUGCUUCUGUUUUAAUUGAAUGUAUGGCAAUGAAAUGCGCAACGACGGUUUUCUUGCUAGCUUUCGUAUGUCUUUAUUUUGCGAGGAAAACUAUUAUGUUAGUUUGACGUCAUUUUUUGUGGUUGUUACCACCAUAGUCCCCUCUGUAAACAAUAACGACCAUGUUCACAAUCUGUUCAAUUCAUAUCAUUAUGCGUUAGUAAUGACAUCGGUGACGGCAUUACUUACAUUAAAAACAAUGUCGACAUUCUGUAAUUGCAAACUGUUAUUACAUUUGAGUCAAUGAAUCACGUGAAAACUGAUUGAAAUAGUGCCACUCUUGUAGGUUUCGCAUCAACGAAGACGUGAUGAAUCCCUGGGAUGGAAGCAACAAUGACGAUUUAAGGGAAAUGCUUAAUCAAAUGGCCGUACAGCUGCAACAAGAAAACAACUGGACAUUUCUACAAGCAUGCCAGUAUGCGACAGAGUGGUACGAAAAACACAUGGCUAAAACGCCGUGUCGCACUUCGAUAUUGACCGGGCAUGCAUAGAUAUGCGAACUAUAUGCGGGCCAUAUGGGUCGAUUUGAGGAAAAUGUUUACAUGGCGAAGGAAGUUUUUGCUGCUUUGUGUGAGACAUUAGUAAAUGAUUUUGGGUUAUAAGUACGGCAACGUCCACAUGGCUUAGCUGUUGAAGAAAGCGUUGUAAUGUUUAUCCAUGUGUUGCAAAGGAUGCAAAAUCGGCAAAUCCAAGAACGUUUCCAACAUUCAGGGGAGACUGUGUCUCGGCACCUGCAUAACGUAUUAACUUCUAUGAAAGAGUUCACUGUUGUUCAUUGCCGGCCCACAUACAAUCAGCAUCGUAUACAUCUAUACGUGCGGUCUAAAUAUAAAUACCUACCGUUCAAGGACUGUAUUGGAGCAAUAGACGGAACACAUGUAAGUGCAUGGGUUAUGGGGCCAGAUGCGGCAACAUAUUUUGGUAGGAAAUACUGUCACACGCAAAAUAUCAUGGCCGCGUGCGAUUUUGACAUGUGUUUCAUCUUCAUUCGUGCGGAUGGAAAGGAAAAAUGCAUGAUAGUCGCAUCUUUAACGAGAUACUAACAAAUAACAAUGUCUCAUUUCCACAUCCUGAAGAAGGCAAAUAUUAUCUUGUCGAUUCUGGCUAUCCAAACCGGAUAGGUUACCUAGCACCAUUCAAAGGCAGCCGUUACCACCAAUAAGAAUUCCGACGUACUCAAUGGAACAGGACGGCAAACACGCCAAGGGAAUUAUUUAACAAAGUUCACUCGUCGUUACGCAGUGUGGUGGAACGCACUUUCGGUGCCUGGAAAAAUCGAUGGGGGUUUAUUCGAGACAUGCCUCGGUAUGACUUUGCAAAUGUGCAUGUUCAGUUAGUAGGUGCGUCAAUGGCAUUACAUAAUUAUAUACGACGAAACACAGGUAAUCCAACAACUGUUCACCCAAUCUGUGACGAAGAAGAGGCUAUGACAAUAGUAAAUGCCAUACUAGAAGUUGAACACGACGAUGAUGGUUUAAUGGUUGGGGAUGAGGACUCGCAUAUGGCAUUGGUGCGCCUUCGCAUACGCGACAAGUUAUGUUACUUGCGUAAUAACGGAACGUUAGGAAAUAUAUAAUAGUCGACCUAAUUUUCGUAGGGUUGUAACAUUGGUAACACGCGUGGAACAGAUUGUAUUCAAAUAUAUUAUCAUGUACAAUAUGUAUGUGUUUACACGGGAAUAUAACCCCUUUCAGUU